UACGUAGGGGGCAAGCGUUGUCCGGAUUUAUUGGGCGUAAAGAGCGUGUAGGCGGCCAUGUAGGUCCGUUGUGAAAACUCGAGGCUCAACCUCGAGACGCCGAUGGAAACCAUGUGGCUAGAGUCCGGAAGAGGAGAGUGGAAUUCCUGGUGUAGCGGUGAAAUGCGCAGAUAUCAGGAAGAACACCCGUGGCUAAGGCGGCUCUCUAGUACGGUACUGACGCUGAGACGCGAAACGUGGGGGAGCGAACAGG
rnacentral:rRNA from 1 species